GGCUGGUCCGAAGGUAGUGAGUUAUCUCACUUGAUUGUUCACAGUCAGUUACAGAUUGAACUCCUUAUUCUACUACUUUUCCUCCUCCUCACUACUGCACUUGACUAGUCUUAA
rnacentral:Y_RNA from 1 species